AGUGAACGCUGGCGGUAGGCCUAACACAUGCAAGUCGAACGGCAGCACAGUAAGAGCUUGCUCUUACGGGUGGCGAGUGGCGGACGGGUGAGGAAUACAUCGGAAUCUACUUUUUCGUGGGGGAUAACGUAGGGAAACUUACGCUAAUACCGCAUACGACCUACGGGUGAAAGCAUGGGAUCUUCGGACCUUGCGCGAUUUAAUGAGCCGAUGUCGGAUUAGCUAGUUGGCGGGGUAAAGGCCCACCAAGGCGACGAUCCGUAGCUGGUCUGAGAGGAUUAUCAGCCACAUUAGAAAUGACAUACGGUCAAGACUCCGACGGGAAGCAGCAGUGGGGAAUAUUGGAAAAUGGGGGCAAGCCUGAUCCAGAAAGACCGCGUGGAUGAGGAAGGCAUUCAGGUUGUAAAGCCUUUUUGUUGGGAAAGAAAAGCAGAAGGUUAAUACCCCGCUGUUCUGACGGUACCCAAAGAAUAAGCACAGGCUAACUACGUG
rnacentral:rRNA from 1 species